AAAUUGAAGAGUUUGAUCAUGGCUCAGAUUGAACGCUGGCGGCAGGCCUAACACAUGCAAGUCGAACGGUAGCACAGAGAGCUUGCUCUCGGGUGACGAGUGGCGGACGGGUGAGUAAUGUCUGGGAAACUGCCUGAUGGAGGGGGAUAACUACUGGAAACGGUGGCUAAUACCGCAUAACGUCGCAAGACCAAAGAGGGGGACCUUCGGGCCUCUUGCCAUCAGAUGUGCCCAGAUGGGAUUAGCUGGUUGGUGAGGUAACGGCUCACCAAGGCGACGAUCCCUAGCUGGUCUGAGAGGAUGACCAGCCACACUGGAACUGAGACACGGUCCAGACUCCUACGGGAGGCAGCAGUGGGGAAUA
rnacentral:rRNA from 2 species